UACAGAGGGGGCAAGCGUUAUCCGGAGUUACUGGGCGUAAAGCGCGGGCAGGCGGCUUCGCAAGUUCGAUGUGAAAUCUCUCAGCUCAACUGGGAGCAGCCAUUGGAAACUACGGAGCUGGAGUCUGGCAGAGGUAGGCGGAAUUCCGGGUGGAGUGGUGAAAUGCGUAGAGAUCCGGAGGAACACCAGAGGCGAAGGCGGCCUACUGGGCCAGUACUGACGCUGAGCCGCGAAAGCCAGGGGAGCGAACGGG
rnacentral:rRNA from 1 species